ACAAGGCGGCCGCGCGGCGAACUGCUACAGCCCGCGAAAUUCAAAAUUAGCCAUGUUAAAAAAUAGCCGGGUUUCUGGUGAUUCCGGAUUUCUGGAUUCCGGAUAAGAGGUUUGGUACCUGUAUAGAUAGAUACAUGAUGUGUGUGUGUGUGUG